GAAUGGCUGUAGCUUAGUGGUAGAGCAUCUGCUUUGCAUGUAGAAGAUCUCAGGUUCAAUCCAUAGCACCUUCA